rnacentral:lncRNA from 1 species
CUUAAAGAACAGAUGUCUGAAUCUACCUCCACUGUUCAAAGGCAUGAAGUUGCAUUGAAUAAUGAAGUGGGCAAAAAGAAGAAAAAGAAGAAAGAGCGAGCAGUUUUAAGUGAAGCUGAAACAAGGUAACAUGACAAACUGUACACAUUGUGUCUGUGAAUCUUAAACAAAAUGUUUCAUUUUAAGAUAGGCAGCAGCUUUCUGAUAAAUUGUUCAUAUUUUCUAAGUGAUUAACUGGCUGAUUCUGUUAUGAAAAAAAUAGUACUAAAUCCUUUCUCAAAAGGCUGUCAUGAUUAAUAUUUAGCUCAUGGAUUCUUUUUAAUAUUUUUUUUUUUUAAUAGUCUUCAUUGCUAUUUGAUGUUUUUUUACUGUGGAACUCACUCUUAACUAACUUAAGAUCAUUUUGUGCAUGAUUUUUUUUAAUAAUAAGUGGUAGCCCUGAUCCAGCAAAAGAUUUAACUCUUCACAUAAAUGGUUCUGCAAUUGUCUGGAAAUUAGGGAGAAAGGAAGAGGGGAGAGCACUGAAAAAGACAAGACACUAAUAGGGCUGGGGGCUGUUACGUUUUAAAGAUACAUAGAUGAUGAAUUGCAAAAUUUCAAGUGGAUUAACAAUGGCAAUGAGUAAUUGUAUCAAUACGUGCAGUAGUCUGCAGUUGCUGACAGUGAUCCAUUACCUUGCAGUGCAAUGUCCCUUUCUGAGCUGCGGCAUCAUCCAAAAGAAGGUGGCAAUGAAAAUCAGUCACCUGAAAGGCUAUUUACCUCAGAAGGACAGAAACUGGAGGAAAGCAUGGAUAAACAGAAAUCUAAAGCCAAGAAGGUUAAGAAGAAAACCAGAAAAGAAGAAACCAUGGAAGUUGCUGCAGAAAAUGAUGAGGAAAUGAAGAAUUCAGAAAUUUCAACUCAGUCUAAAUUUGGUUUUGGCGAUGAUCUUGUUUUGGGAGUUUAUAUCCAUCGAUCGGAUAGACUUAAAAUUGAUCACUUGGUAUCUCAUCCUGUGGUUAAAAUCCAUAUUGUUGAUCAGAGAAGUGGCUUAUAUGUGAAGAAGGAUUACAGGUGACUUUUAAUAAACU